UGGGCCGGGAAUUAUAUAAGAAUCCUUAGCAGCAUGAGUGCCAGCCAGUCAUUGCUGUUCUUUGCAUUGCUGAGGAGGACAGUCCUGCCAACAUAAUAGUUUGUUCAAUAACAGGAGACAAACAGAAACACAGAGGUGCUAUACAUUCCGAUGGAAAAUACAACAAAAGCAUCUCCCAUCAUUUUGGCGUGGCUCAGAUCAAGAGGAGAAUUUUAAGAAAGGUGAUGGUUGGGCACACACAAGAAGACAUAGAUCACAUGUGUCCAGGCAUAUGAGUAGACAGGAGUUUCACACUCUGCCAAACUUACUUCAUCAGAGGAGCAGAAAGCUUCUCAAGAUCCCGCACUGCACACUUAGAUAUAGUCUUUGACUACAACAAGGGGAUGAAAGUACAGAGAGGUCCAAUUGAAAUCAAUUCUGUGCUGCGUCAUUUCUUCAUUCUGGAAGUCGAUGGACAUGAUUUAUCAUGGCAUCAGGUGUGCAGUUUGUCGACUAUCAGCAGUCUUGUUCACCAGUUGUGCAACUUGAGCUGGUAGCUUUAUUGCUUGAAGCCACAGCAUAAGAGGGGGAAGGUGCAGGCUCAUCAAAAAGUCUCAAAAGUUGAAACUAGGAAAAGAAGUUUGUCAAGAGUGUGAAUAUUUGCUUUGAAAACCAUCGUUACGAUGAUUUGGUUUCCUUUGAAACUUGAUACAUACUAUGUGUAUGUUGAAUGAAUUGAGAUGCUUAAAUAAAGAACCGCUAUUCAAAUAUCAGGAAACUGCAUUUUUCAUACUAAAGGGUAAAUGAUGUCGCCAUUUCCUGUAUGUAUUUAAAUGAGAUAUGUUUCCACAAUUAAUAUUUUUAGGGAAUUUUUCUCAUCCUAAUGAAUGAGAUUAAAUUGUACAGCGUUAUAUGAGCUUAAUAUGUGUUUUCUGUUUCUUUAAAAUUGGUGAAAAAUUGUCAGAAGAUAAUUAGACCAGUAUCCAUUACUGCAAUCAUACAAUCAAAUAUACAGGGACAAACCCACUGGGCAUAUAAUAUAAUUAAACCCUGUUUAGGGGCACGAGGCAAACAGAGUUACUUUCAAACAUUAAAGCUGC